rnacentral:rRNA from 1 species
ACGCGAAAGUCCCCUUCGGGGGACAAGUAGAGUGGCGCACGGGUGAGUAACACGUAGGUAAUCUACCUUCGGGAGGGGAAUAACAACCGGAAACGGUUGCUAAUACCGCAUAAUGCAGCGGCACCUAAUGGUGACAGUUGUUAAAGCGGGGGAUCGCAAGAUCUCGCGCCUGAAGAGGAGCCUGCGGCGGAUUAGCUAGUUGGUAGGGUAAUGGCCUACCAAGGCGACGAUCCGUAGCCGGCCUGAGAGGGCGGUCGGCCACACUGACACUGACAUACGGGUCAGACUCCUACGGGAGGCAGCAGUCGGGAAUUUUGGGCAAUGGGCGAAAGCCUGACCCAGCAACGCCGCGUGAAGGAUGAAAUCCCUCGGGAUGUAAACUUCGCAAGAACAGGAAGAAUAAGUUUGUGCUAACACCGCAAGCGAUGACGGUACUGUUUGUAAGCUCCGGCUAACUCCGUGCCAGCAGCCGCGGUAAUACGGGGGGAGCAAGCGUUG